UACGUAGGGGGCAAGCGUUGUCCGGAUUAUUGGGCGUAAAGAGCGUGUAGGCGGCUAGGUAGGUCCGUUGUGAAAACUCGAGGCUCAACCUCGAGACGCCGAUGGAAACCAUCUGGCUAGAGUCCGGAAGAGGAGAGUGGAAUUCCUGGUGUAGCGGUGAAAUGCGCAGAUAUCAGGAAGAACACCCGUGGCUAAGGCGGCUCUCUAGUACGGUACUGACGCUGAGACGCGAAAGCGUGGGGAGCGAACAGG
rnacentral:rRNA from 1 species